CCAACCCUUUGUUGUUAAAACUACCUUGUUGCUUUGGCGGGACCGCUCGGUCUCGAGCCGCUGGGGAUUCGUCCCAGGCGAGCGCCCGCCAGAGUUAAACCAAACUCUUGUUAUAAAAACCGGUCGUCUGAGUAAAAAUUUUGAAUAAAUCAAAACUUUCAACAACGGAUCUCUUGGUUCUCGCAUCGAUGAAGAACGCAGCGAAAUGCGAUAAGUAAUGUGAAUUGCAGAAUUCAGUGAAUCAUCGAAUCUUUGAACGCACAUUGCGCCCCUUGGUAUUCCGAGGGGCAUGCCUGUUCGAGCGUCAUUACACCACUCAAGCUAUGCUUGGUAUUGGGUGCCGUCCUUAGUUGGGCGCGCCUUAAAGACCUCGGCGAGGCCUCACCGGCUUUAGGCGUAGUAGAAUUUAUUCGAACGUCUGUCAAAGGAGAGGACUUCUGCCGACUGAAACCUUUUAUUUUUUCUAGGUUGACCUCGGAUCAGGUAGGGAUACCCGCUGAACUUAAGCAUAUCAAUAAGCGGAGGAAAAGAAACCAACAGGGAUUGCCCUAGUAACGGCGAGUGAAGCGGCAACAGCUCAAAUUUGAAAGCUGGCCUUCGGGUCCGCAUUGUAAUUUGUAGAGGAUGCUUUGGGUGAAACGCCAGUCUAAGUUCCUUGGAACAGGACGUCAUAGAGGGUGAGAAUCCCGUA
rnacentral:rRNA from 1 species